UCUUAGAUGACUGAGUUUAAGUGCUAGACUUUUAAUCUAGAUACGGCUGGAAUUUUAAAGCCUCUAAGAA
rnacentral:tRNA from 1 species